CAACACACAACAUCUAAUUAAGAAAUGGACCGUUUGGUCCUGUCCACAUACGUGUUGUGUCUAUCUACCUAUAUACCUACCUGCCGAUCCAUCGGUCUACGUACGCACACCACUGCUACUCAUCUUCCUACAUCCUCCCUCGGGUCUACAGGUGCACAAUCAUUAGCACCAAGAGACACUCCCUCAAAAUACACACACAAAAUAACACAAGCCACAACUUGCCCAGCAGAUACACAUUUAACCGUGACGCCUCAGGGGACAGCCGGAAGGAAGCCGUAGGGCAGCAAACCGAGAGAGAGGGGGAGAGAGAGAGAGAGGAGGGGAGACGGAACAGGCCGAGCAUCUAAGGUCACGUUCUUCCCGUUGCAGCUGGCUUCCCCCUUUGAUUCACAUUGUAACAAUGAUUAGAGUUAAGGAGUGUACUGCUUGCUCUGUGCAUUUGUGCGUGGACUCGUACAUAUCCACAUACGGUAUCUUGGUUUCAUAACGCUGGCAGUCGUCAUUAUAUUCACGUUAACUGCAUUCUUCCAUGUUUCGGGCAUCGUUCCCAUGCUAUGAAUACGUACGGUACAUGUACAGUGGAUGGAAUCUACCACAGAGAGCUCCUGACACACACUUACCUAAAUACCACGAGGGUUAUAAAAUGUACACUAACACUUUCAUGUGUGGCUGAAAGAAACAGAAACUGACUAAUUGUUUAUUUAUUAAAUAUAGUUCAAAACAGUGGAAUAAUAUAAACUCUUUACGUCUGUGUCGUCAUUGACACAAAGUUUGCAAAGUGUUUUUUAAUGGUGGCAGAGGCAGAAGUUUCAGUUCAACAGUGUUACUGAAGUAUUUGGCGUCUAACUGAAUGCAAAGCUAACUUUAUAAACGUCAUAUAACAUGAACAGUCAAGAGCGAACACAGAAAUUCACUUCACAUGUGAAGCGCCUCGGGGUUCCUGUGCCCUCAGCCUCAAUAACUGACGGUUUUCCUUUGCAAAAUUGUAUCGAUCUUGACAGUGAGAAUGUAUUUUUUUAUUCUAUGGAAUUAAGCCAUUCCCCUACGUUAAAGCUAAUUAUUCGCUUCUGAUCUCUGCUAGACUUUAACAUCACCGAGCUCAGAUUUCCAUCUAUAACGAGACGUAUCUGUGUGGCAGGUAAAACGAGCGGGGGGAGCAAGUUGGAAACACCUCUGACACGUAACGCACUCGGAGGUGCGGUUCGUAACCACAACUGUAUUCACAGUGAUUAGUGCCACGGCAAACGUCCUCAACAC
ensembl:lncRNA